rnacentral:lncRNA from 1 species
CAGGAAGUUAAGACUACCACUGAGCUACUUUGUACUCUGUACUGCCCAUUUCUCUGAAUCAUCAUGCAAGAAGAAAGUUACUGUGCUGGCUGGUGUGACUGAUGCUGACUACCAAGGAGAAAUUGGAUUACUCCUACACAAUGGAGAUAAGGACAAGUACGUCUGAAAUUCAGAUCAUUUAGGGUGUCUUUUGUAAUACCAUUCUUUGUAAUUAAGGUGAAUGGAAACCUCAACAAACCAACACAGCUGACUCCUCCAAUCUCCCUGAAAUUUCUAUGUUAGAAUUAAUUUCCAAUCAACUAACUGAUUCUCUGUUGAAACCAAGUGCCCUGGCUCCAACCAAAGAGAAAGGAGGGAGAGACCAGAAAAGGAUACUGAGCAGAGUGUCCAGAGAAGCAGGAGGGAGACUAAACAGCUGAGCAUUGUGGACUUGGAGAGAGAAAAGAUGCUCAAGGUCAUGGUGAAGUACAGUGCCGAUUGCCAGAAUGAAUGCUGUGGUAGAAUAAGGAGUCGAUAGAGAUCAAUAAGUGUGGGAAAUGAUAUUUUUAGUGUCUUUAGUGAGAGAAGUUUCAACUUUAUGAUGGAGUUGAGGCCAGAGAAUAAUGACAAGUGAAUGGGAAACAGUGCACAACAUAAGGGGGAUGUUUUCAAGUUGUCCAAGAAACAUGAGAACUAUUGGCAUGUGUCCACUUCUCAUGGACAAAAGUAAUUUUCUUUUCUUGUAGAGUAUCUUAAUAAAAGUUUUCAAAAGAGAGGAGAGGAGAGGAAGAUAUCAAGAAGAGAAAAGGGACAGGAAAAGUGGAAAGGGUAAAGUUUACAUGGGUGAACAAAGAAAAAGAACGGAAGAGAAGUUGGAAGAGAGUAACAGAGACAUAGAUGGAUAAUGUGGGAAAGAUAAGCCAGUGAAGACAGUGCAAGUAUCCAAGAAAGGCUGAGGAAGGAAGGGGAGGCUCAGAGGUUGGGGGUGAAUGUUUCUCUGAACCCUAGUUUGCAUUAUGUUGUCAACACCAGGAAUCCUUUCAUUUUCUUUUAAUCAAAAUUCUAAAUUUAUUUUCCUGUGGAAUUUGUCUAUGAAAUAUAUUUUCAUUUUAAAUUUUACCUUAGAAACUUUGUACUCUUCCUAAAUAUACUAGCACUGCCUGAAAGUUCUUUCC